GGGAAUUUUCCGCAAUGGGCGAAAGCCUGACGGAGCAACGCCGCGUGAGGGAUGAAGGCCUCUGGGCUGUAAACCUCUUUUAUCAAGGAAGAAGAUCUGACGGUACUUGAUGAAUAAGCCACGGCUAAUUCCGUGCCAGCAGCCGCGGUAAUACGGGAGUGGCAAGCGUUAUCCGGAAUUAUUGGGCGUAAAGCGUCCGCAGGCGGUCUUGUAAGUCUGUCGUCAAAGCGUGGAGCUUAACUCCAUUUAAGCGAUGGAAACUGCAAGACUAGAGUGUGGUAGGGGCAGAGGGAAUUCCCGGUGUAGCGGUGAAAUGCGUAGAUAUCGGGAAGAACACCAGUGGCGAAGGCGCUCUGCUGGGCCAUAACUGACGCUCAUGGACGAAAGCUAGGGGAGCGAAAGGGAUUAGAUACCCCUGUAGUC
rnacentral:rRNA from 1 species